GACGUAGGAGGCGAGCGUUAUCCGGAUUCACUGGGCGUAAAGCGCAUGUAGGCGGAUGUCUAAGUCGUGUGUUAAAGCCCCUGGCUCAACUGGGGGAGGUCAUGCGAGACUGGAUGACUUGAGGGCAACAGAGGCACGUGGAACUCCCGGUGUAGCGGUGGAAUGCGUAGAUAUCAAGCGGAACACCAGUGGCGAAGGCGAGUCCCUGGACAACUCCUGACACUGAGGCACGAAAGCUAGGGGAGCAAACAGG
rnacentral:rRNA from 1 species